ACAGCAGCAGCCGCGGGAAUACGUAGGUGGCAAGCGUUGUCCGGAAUUAUUGGGCGUAAAGGGCUCGCAGGCGGUUUCUUAAGUCUGAUGUGAAAGCCCCCGGCUCAACCGGGGAGGGUCAUUGGAAACUGGGAAACUUGAGUGCAGAAGAGGAGAGUGGAAUUCCACGUGUAGCGGUGAAAUGCGUAGAGAUGUGGAGGAACACCAGUGGCGAAGGCGACUCUCUGGUCUGUAACUGACGCUGAGGAGCGAAAGCGUGGGGAGCGAACAGGAUUAGAUACCCGUGUAGUCCCUGUCUCUUAUAA
rnacentral:rRNA from 1 species